AUAGGCUGUGCGCAUACAGCUGAAGUAUGUCAUCGAGUGAUCUAAACCCCAGAGAAGCUGCAUGACCUGCUCACGAUAUCUUUAAAAAUACUGGUCCUGACGGUCUGGAUAGAAUGAUAUACUACAAACGUGUAUGAAGUUGAAGAAACUGACAUUGUGUCAUUUCUCAGGGUAAUGCUGUGAAAAAUAUGUUUUGGAAAGUCUUUGUGGCAAGGGCAGGUUUACAUUACUUACCACUGUAGAGAACAAAAAAACUUCCACUUGAUACUGGGACUGUUGUUGUGAUACAGCAAGUUACAGUACAAACUUAAAUUAUCCCACCUUCAACUUUCCUUUACACUUUGAUGUGCAAAUACAAUGAAGUGUGUAAAACAGCGACCGUUACUGAUUGUGUACAGUUCAGA